rnacentral:rRNA from 1 species
UACGAAGGGUGCAAGCGUUAAUCGGAAUUACUGGGCGUAAAGCAUGCGUAGGCGGUUUGUUAAGUCUGUUGUGAAAUCCCCGGGCUCAACCUGGGAAUGGCAAUGGAUACUGGCAGGCUAGAGUGUGUCAGAGGAUGGUGGAAUUCCCGGUGUAGCGGUGAAAUGCGUAGAGAUCGGGAGGAACAUCAGUGGCGAAGGCGGCCAUCUGGGACAACACUGACGCUGAGGCACGAAAGCGUGGGGAGCAAACAGG